UACAGAGGGUGCAAGCGUUUGUCCGGAUUUACUGGGCGUAAAGAGCGCGCAGGCGGUUGUGCAAGUCGCGUGUGAAAGCCCCCGGCUCAACUGGGGAGGGUCACGCGAUACUGCUCGACUCGAAGGCAGGAGAGGGAAGUGGAAUUCCCGGUGUAGUGGUGAAAUGCGUAGAUAUCGGGAGGAACACCAGUGGCGAAGGCGACUUCCUGGCCUGUUCUUGACGCUGAGGCGCGAAAGCUAGGGUAGCAAACGGG
rnacentral:rRNA from 1 species